rnacentral:rRNA from 1 species
GUGGGGAAUAUUGGACAAUGGGCGCAAGCCUGAUCCAGCCAUGCCGCGUGAGUGAAGAAGGCCUUAGGGUUGUAAAGCUCUUUCGCUAGGGACGAUAAUGACGGUACCUAGAUAAGAAGCCCCGGCUAACUUCGUGCCAGCAGCCGCGGUAAUACGAAGGGGGCUAGCGUUGUUCGGAAUCACUGGGCGUAAAGCGCACGCAGGCGGAUUGAUAAGUCAGGGGUGAAAUCCCGAGGCUCAACCUCGGAAUUGCCUUUGAUACUGUCUAUCUUCGAGUUCGGGAGAGGUUGGCGGAAUUCCUAGUGUAGAGGUGAAAUUCGUAGAUAUUAGGAAGAACACCAGUGGCGAAGGCGGCCAACUGGCCCGAUACUGACGCUCAUGUGCGAAAGCGUGGGGAGCAAACAGGAUUAGAUACCCGUGUAGUCC